rnacentral:ncRNA from 1 species
UAAAAGUUUUAUUCUGGCUUGAUAAUUUAUUUUUAGAUUAUUUUACAUGCAAAUUUUUGUGACUAUAAUUUUAAACUGAAAGUUUGGUGGGUUUUGCAGUGAUUGAUAUUAUUAAUUGAGGAAACUCAGAAAUAGUAUUAUUUAAUUGGAAUUGACUAAAUUUGUGCCAGCAGUCGCGGUUAUACAAAGAAUUCAAAUAAAUUUUAUUAGUUUAGAGUUAGAUGUUGUUUUUGAAUUUAUAAUUAAUGUAAUUUUUUUUAGGUGAAAUUUUAUGAAUUAUUAAGUUAUAUCUUUAAAAAAUUAAUUGAAGCUUAGAAAUUUUAAAUUUAGACUAGGAUUAGAUACCCUAUUAUUUAAAAUGUAAUUGUAGAAUACUGGAGUAUUAAUAGAUAUGAUCUUGAAACUUAAAGAAUUUGGCGGUAUUUUAGUCUGUUCAGAGGAACCUGUUAAGUAAUCGAUGAUCCACGAUGGACCUUACUCUAGUUUGUUAUUUUCAACUUGUAUACCGCCGUUAUUGAAGAUUCUUUUAGGAUAAUAAUUUUCUAGAAUUUAAUUAAAAAUGUAUGUCAGGUCAAGGUGCAGUUUAUAUUAGAGUUAAUAAUGGGUUACAAUAAGUAUACUUAAAUGGAUAUUGGAAUUAAUUUUUCGGUUGAAGGUGGAUUUGAUAGUAAAAUUAUAUAGAUUGAUUAUUUGAUUUCAGCUCUAAAAUAUGUACACAUCGCCCGUCACUCUUACUAUUAAAGUAAGAUAAGUCGUAACAUAGUAGAUGUACUGGAAAGUGUAUCUAGAAUAA